rnacentral:rRNA from 1 species
CAAUAGCGUAUAUUAAAGUUGUUGCGGUUAAAAAGCUCGUAGUUGGAUUUCUGCUGAGAACGACCGGUCCGCCCUUUGGGUGUGUAUCUGGCUCUUUCUUGGCAUCUUCUUGGUGAACGUUGCUGCACUUGACUGUGUGGAGCGCUACCCAGGACUUUUACUUUGAGGAAAUUAGAGUGUUUCAAGCAGGCAUACGCCUUGAAUACAUUAGCAUGGAAUAAUAAGAUAGGACCUCGGUUCUAUUUUGUUGGUUUCUAGAGCUGAGGUAAUGAUUAAUAGGGAUAGUUGGGGGCAUUCGUAUUUAACAGUCAGAGGUGAAAUUCUUGGAUUUGUUAAAGACGGACUACUGCGAAAGCAUUUGCCAAGGAUGUUUUCAUUGA